CUGUAGCCUAAUAUUGGGUUUCGAUGUUGCAUGCACAGGAUAGAUGGGACACUGGGAAACAAUCGCUUUGGCGGUUGCGGAGUGGCCGUUGGGAUACCAUCCUUGCGAUAUUGGAAUUCUAACCUGCGGCUCUGAAUCGAGUCGGGGGACAUUGUUAGGUGGGCAGUUUGACUGGGGCGGUCGCCUCCUAAAAAGUAACGGAGGCGUUCAAAGGUUCGCUCAGCUUGAACGGAAAUCAAGCAAAAGAGUGCAAACGCAGAAGCGAGCCUAACUGCGAGACUGACGGGUCGAGCAGUAACGAAAGUUGGAGUUAGUGAUCCGGUGGUAUGUGAGUGGAAAUGCCAUCGCUCAACGGAUAAAAGUUACCCUGGGGAUAACAGGCUGAUCUCCCCCAAGAGUCCACAUCGACGGGGAGGUUUGGCACCUCGAUGUCGGCUCAUCGCAUCCUGGGGCUGUAUUCGGUCCCAAGGGUUUGGCUGUUCGCCAAUUAAAGCGGUACGCGAGCUGGGUUCAGAACGUCGUGAGACAGUUCGGUCCCUAUCUGUCGUGGGCGCAGGAUAUUUGAUGGGAGCUGUCCCUAGUACGAGAGGACCGGGACGGACGUACCUCUGGCGCACCAGUUGUUCCGCCAGGAGCAUAGCUGGGCAACUACGUACGGAUCGGAUAAACGCUGAAAGCAUCUAAGCGUGAAGCCGACCCAAAGAUAAGAUAUCCCAUUGUUUCAAACAAGUAAGACCCCUUGAAGACUACAAGGUUGAUAGGCACGAUGUGUAAGUGGAGCGAUCCAUUCAGCAAGCGUGUACUAAUAGGUCGAGGGCUUGACCAC
rnacentral:rRNA from 1 species